GUGACUAGUAAAUGGCAGGGGCUGAAACACUGGCCAGAAAAGAUUCAGCAUAGUCAUAAAGGUUGUCCUCACCUCAGUACAGACACCUCUGUAACUACAAGGGGUGGUGACUAGUAAAUGGCAGGGGCUGAAACACUGGCCAGAAAAGAUUCAGCAUAGUCAUAAAGGUUGUCCUCACCUCAGUGCAGACACCUCUGUAACUACAAGGGGUGGUGACUAGUAAAUGGCAGGGGCUGAAACACUGGCCAGAAAAGAUUCAGCAUAGUCAUAAAGGUUGUCCUCACCUCAGUACAGACACCUCUGUAACUACAAGGGGUGGUGACUAGUAAAUGGCAGAGGCAUCAUGUAUAUACAAGUGUGUUGUCAAACUAAAGCUGUGCAACAUGCAUGCAGGAUAUGCACACAGCUACUGUUGUAGCCUUUGAGUCCAUUGGUAACCACUGGAGAUCCAAAGUCAGUCAAUAUGAAGUCAAGGAGAAACACAGCUAUCAGCACUAAGAAAACAAAGAUUCAAAUAAUUGCAAUUCCUUCAAUGGCAGAGUGGUAUCCAUGCCCCUCCUCCAUCACAGAACUACCCUUCUAUUGGAGUAAGAAGGCUUAACUCUGCAGCAAAAUGAUAUUCAAUUGCUGUGGAUAGUGGGACAGUAUAGGUAGAAAUCUCAGCACUAUAAUAUCUGAAUGAAGUAAACCCAUGAUGUCAAUCAAGCAGAAGGAGGGCACAAAAAUAGUUCUUCUAAAUUAGAAAGGGAGAUGGAAGAGGGGGCAUUACCUGCAUUUCAGAUGAUUCUCCUAAUUUGAAGUACCUGUGUGUCACAGAUUGAAUGUCUUAUGAUGAAAUUAGAUUCCUAUACAUGUGACUUGUGAUUUGUAUUGGACACUACAACUACAAAAAGAAACUGGAAAUAGUAUAUCCUAUUUUGCAUAAUGAAGGUCUUCAGCCUACUCUGUAGCUAGCUGCCAUUCAAUGCAAACCCAUGUUACUGGUAUUACCACUCCCUCAGUUACUGUGGUUUCACAUCCUUCAGAGCUUCACAGCUCACCAGAACUAAUACUUCUGGCAUACAAAAUGUGUUUACUUAUCCUCCCCCUCCACAGACGCACACAAAUACAAACAAGCUAUACAUAUCAGGGCCAUCUGGUGCCUUUCCUCUUCAAACUACGUGGUACUAUUUACAGUCAGCAUUAGUAGUUAAUUAUAAUUACUCAUGGAGUGUCUCUAUGCCUUACACACAAGCUGCAAAUGGAAUGUAGUGUCAUAGAAAUGUAGGAGCACAUGGAGGAUUUAGAGACACGUUGAUACCAACUUUUAUAACGACAAAAGACAGGAACCUGAUCAGUUACAGCUGUACAUGGAAGAUGCAGGAUAUAAACUUAAGAGAGAAUGAUUUGCCCUCAUAGUUCAGGUCCAGAACUAGAAACAGUAAUAGAAUCACAGGUGAAAACUUUCUGUUUCUGGUGAAGUCAUACACCACCAGUAUUAUGUACUUCACAAUGAAGCCAGAAGCCAGCAAAACAGCAACUCAUUCCAUGGUGCACAAGUAAAAGGUCUCUGUAAUUUAUUUAUUCAGACUUGCACUUUCCAAGAGAAACAUUGCCUUUCUAACCUGCAGAUUUUAAGCCAUAAUAUUUGCACAUGUGGCUGUAUGUAAAAUAUUUUCUAAGUGCCUUAGCUGUGCAUUUUCAGUACACUAAAUUCGUCUGCUCGAUGGCUAAAGAUUAUGAAAUGUUGCCUAACAAAUCAAGCCACUCAUGUUUUUGCGGGUGGGGAUGAAAGCCUUCUGAAGCAGGUGGGUACUAGAUUCAAGCAACAAUGAUAAAUUACUCCUGACUUUGGAAUGGGGGACUCUUUAUGUAAGUACUUUGAUCAUUUACAGGCUCUGUCAUUUUCCAAUGAACUAUUGCAUAAAGAGCUAAAAUCAUCUUCCUCUGAGAAAUUAAAAACCUGCAUCAUAAUAGUUUGAAACAUUACUGCUUCUGUUUGGUGUGUAUAUGUACAACCACAAAGUGCACCUCAAGGCUACUCACCAUCUUCCAUUAAUACUGUCACUUUUACUUUGCUAAGGAAUGGUUAACCUGUAAAACCUCCACCUUUUAUUUUUAUUUAAACAAAUACCAUUUUCCAUGGCACAUUGCCAUACAACAGCAGAAUUCUAGAAUAAUGAUCUUUUUAAUUUCUGCAGAAUGUAUAUAAAAAUCACUGGAAAUCAUACCUAUAAAUUAAUGAGCAUUAUAUUUCAAAUAAAUAAAAUUUCUCUAAUUAAAUAAUUGUACCUGCUAAUUGUUGAGUAUUUGUAUUCAAAGGUAUUCGACUAGUCAGGAAGGCCAGUUAUGUCUGACUGGAGCCAAACAACUUUUUUUUAAGUGAAUAAAAUAAUGUUGCUUUUGUCACAAUUUUUGUUCUUUAUUUCUGUAUAAAAAGCAGAAACAUUGGUUUACCCA